GCCAGUGUGGUGCAGUGAUGUGCUGGACUGCAACUCUGGAGACCUGGGUUCGAUUCCCAGCUUGUUG